UGUAAACCAAAAAUGUACAGCAUCAAGAUAUUAUAUUCGCGGUGACUUUAGAUUUGAGGGAGUUGCAAGACCGAGUCAUGCUUCCUUGCGUGCUACUUCAAUUUUGCAGCAUAUUGAUCAAAGAACAGCUGAUGUUUAUCUGGAAAGGUCGUCUUUCACAGUCAGAUUAAAUCCAAUCCAGGAGAACACAGAGACCCCCGAUUAAGAACUCCAGAAACCAAACUUUAAUUCUCGGACGGUCCGUAUCCAAUUCACAGCUGCGCAGACGAGCGUUUUGCUGGUUCGGCGGAUUCUCCGGGACAGCGUAGCAGCAGCGCUCUUCGCUUAAGAUAGACACAACAUUCGUGGAAGGCACACUGAAGAGCGUCUGAGAAUUUACACCCAUUCCCACCUGUUAAGAGGACAAGGUCGCGGGCGGGCCAGGGCCGAUCCUGGCAAGCACUGGGUGAGAGGAUGCCAGUCCAUCACAGGGCACACACUGACACCCGUUACACCAGAGACCAUUUUCCCAGGAGCCUAUUCACCUGCCAGGGAGGAAA